rnacentral:lncRNA from 1 species
CAUAAAUGUACCAUGGCCAGGCAGUUCCCUUGACAUCCAUAUAUUUAGAGUAUCCAAUGUAUGCAGAUACCUAGAGGUUAGGCACCAAGAAACAUGUUUCCUAUAGGUUUAGAAAAAGGUCUUCUGCUAGAGGAUAGUGAAUGUCGAUGUAGGCCAUUUCUGCUGACACCAUAUCUCAACCCAACCAGUGAGAGAGGGGAGAGGUACAACAGGGCACACACAUCUACAAGAACUGCUAUAGAGAGGGCCUUUUUAGUAUGGUAGAGGACAUUUCAGGCUAUGCAUUCUGAGGUUCGAUAGAAACCAGCAAAGGUCAGUAGAGUGAUUGUGGCCUGUGCAGUCCUCUAUAACCUGGCCAUACUUUGGAAUAAAUCUGAGCCACAGGAGCCUCAAGAUGGUGAUGAGCAGUCUAAGCCAGACCAAUACCACGGACUUCAGGAUGGCCGUGGGAACAGAAAUUAUGUGAUCAACACUUUUAAUCAUGUUCUGGAGUUAUUAUGAUUUCUGCAAUGCAUACAACCUAUUGCAUUACAAGGGAAUAAAAUUUGA